UACGUAGGGUGCAAGCGUUGUCCGGAAUUAUUGGGCGUAAAGAGCUCGUAGGCGGUCUGUUGCGUCGGCUGUGAAAACCCGGGGCUCAACUCCGGGCCUGCAGCCGAUACGGGCAGACUAGAGUUCGGCAGGGGAGACUGGAAUUCCUGGUGUAGCGGUGAAAUGCGCAGAUAUCAGGAGGAACACCGGUGGCGAAGGCGGCAUCCUGGACCAAUUCUGACGCUGAGGAGCGAAAGCCAGGGGAGCAAACGGG
rnacentral:rRNA from 1 species